UACGAGGGGGGCGAGCGUUGUUCGGAAUUAUUGGGCGUAAAGGGUGCGUAGGCGGUUUGGUAAGUCUUGUGUGAAAUCUUCGGGCUCAACUCGAAGUCUGCAUGAGAAACUGCCGGGCUUGAGUGUGGGAGAGGUGAGUGGAAUUCCCGGUGUAGCGGUGGAAUGCGCAGAUAUCAGGAGGAACACCAAUGGCGAAGGCAGAUCUCUGGGCCGUAACUGACGCUGAGGAGCGAAAGCAUGGGGAGCGAACAGG
rnacentral:rRNA from 1 species